rnacentral:lncRNA from 1 species
AUGGUGGUAAAUUCCCUCAGGUUUCCUUAUUUCCUCCUAAGUCCAAACAGGGCACUGCAGAAAUCUCCAUCCCAGUGCUAUGAACAGGCACAAACAAAACAAAGGUCCAAGAAAAGCCUGCUUUCCCUUACCAAAGAAUGGAAGAACACCCUAAGAACCGCAAAUCUUCCUGGCAAUCCUAGGAGAGCCAAUCCUCCCACCCCCACCCCCACCCCAUGUAACAACUGCACUCUCCACCCUGCAGCAGUUUUAGCAGCCCCAACCACAGAGUUGACCUUUCACCCACCUCCAUCCCGAGGAAGUGACAGGCAGCUCUCCAGUGCCCCUGUGGAUGGCUUGGGCAGGCCUGCAUGGGGAGCUGGCUUUUUAUCUCCUGCCUGGAAGAAGCAGCAAGCAGUGCUCCAAAGCUUNNGCAGGAAGUGUCAGCAGUCUGAUCAGGAAGCUGAGCACACACUCCCAGUAAGAAGCAUCCUAGUCACUUUCCUUGUUGCAGGGACAAAAUACCCAACACCUGCAAUUUAAAGGAGAAAAGGUUUAUUUUGGAUCACAAUUUGUAGAGGCUUCAGUUCAAGGCAGGACAACUUUGCAGAAAGGCAUGGUGGAAGGGAGCUAGCUGGUUAUGGCAUGGCAGCAGGGAAGCAGAGAGAUCAAGGGG